AUGAGCCGCAGGCAUCUCAUCAGAGAGCUUUUUGUGCCUGAGCUACUCUUUGGGAAAAAUGCUAUGUUUUUCCUUCAGUCAGUUGCAGGGAUCUUUAGGUGGGUCAGAGCCUAUGGUCUGAUGCGUUUCCAAGUUGAGAGAGGUACAGUUGAUUUAACCAGAAGUUCAGCUGAAGACAAGCAGACACAGUCACAAGUUCAGCACUCCAGAAGUAUUGCCAAUGGAGAACUGUCCAGCAAGAAAAACAUCAGCAUAAAGUUUGCCACUAAGCUGAGCAUCAACAAGUCCAGAUGCUGUAAAUAGAACUGCAAAAUGAUUUUUCUGUCUUCUGAAAAUUUCUCAGCUACAGAUUGCCUUGUUCAAUAUAUUAGGAUAAAACUCAUCAUUACUCAGAGUAAGAAGGAUCAUCUAGCCAAGAAGUGAGCUACUUGGAAUUUCCUGCUCUCCUGUGGGAUGGGUGAUACCGAAGUCUAAAGCUCUGAAUCAGGCCCUCUCAGACUUUUGUCCCAUUUCCUACAGGACUGCCCUGACAACACUGGACCAUGAGCUCUUUAGAAGCAGGCAAGCAUCUCACCAAUAGUUCUGGAGGAGAGAAGAACAGUAGUGCUCAGGAAAAAAAAUAACUUAAGGCCCAUAGAAAUUAUAAGGUUUUAGUCCCAGUGGGAUGUCAAUGUCUGAAGGUAAAGUCUGCACUGCAAAGAAUGAGGGAAUGGGAAUGAUCAGGUAGAAGGGUUGGCUACUGAGUGAUGCUGCAGGAUAUCAGCCAGCACCCACAGAUUGGGUGAUAUUUUUCAUGUCAAGUACUACAGAGGUGUGCUGGUUGGUAGCACAGACAGACUUAGUCUGCUACCAUUGCCUGCAAAAGUACUCAUGAUUUUUUUCCAUUCCCUACCCCCCCCCCCCCUCAAAAAAAAAAAAAGAGGCAUGUAAAAGUUCCUGUUUGUGUCACACUUACAGAGAAGCAAACAUACACAGAUUAUUCUUGUACUCUUGAGUUUCCCAUUGAAUGCUUCAUAGGGACACUCUAGUAAAAUCAGAAGUGCAUAUAUAAACCUUAUAACUAUUUCUGGAUGGCUGGAGCUGUCAUUUCACUUAGCCUUUUAUGAUUUCUUUGUGUUAUUAUUCCAACAAAUGUAAAAUCAGCAUCAGGUUAGGCACUACACUACAGAUUAUUUGAAGGCUGUUGUCCAAAGUUACUUGGGGGUUUGGCAUAAACUGUGCUCUCAAAAGGGAAAAGUUUGUUCUUUGCAUCAUGAUAUAAGGAAUAGUCUGGAAACUAUGUGCUUGUACUUUGAUUGUAAGU
rnacentral:lncRNA from 1 species